rnacentral:lncRNA from 1 species
UCAUUCCAGAAAAUGAGAUUUUGGGGCCUUCUUCUGUUUCUGCUCUUAAUCAUGAAGUCACAAUCUUCUCUCUGUGACACCACAGUGAUGACUUCCAAGGGAAAAUGAUGGUCCUAAAAAUGGAGGAUUACAGGUUAGGGAAGGUUGGGCUUAUACGGCUAAGAUACCAGUAAAAGAUUGAUGCGCGGACUUCUAGUUUUGGGAAGAUGGGACGAAAAGAAAUAAUGGAUAGAGGAAUCGAACACCGUCUUCCGGGGAUGCAAGACGAGCUUCUCUCCGAGCACGUCGGCGGAGUUAUUUGGGUAGAGAGACAUCGCGGGGCACAGUGGCAAGGAAGGAGUUGGUGCCUCUGACAUCUGCGAGUGGAGUUAUGUUUGCCGAACGAUAUUUCGGAGGAGAGGUUGGCUCCACGGAGAUUCGAGAACAGUCGAAAGGGCUGCAAGAGAAUGUCUUAGAGUGUUUUACAUCUUUGAUUGGGCCUCUCUCAGUUAUAUUCAUCUCCGCUUCCGAGUUUGAAUCCAGAACACACACUGGUUCCUGUAAUUUUGGCCAAAAAUAUCACCCAAUUUUGCUUCACUCUCUCGCUGAAAUCUCAGUCAUCCAUCACCGAAAUAGCUCUUUUUUUUUUUUUUACAACUGCAACCUCAGUGGAACAAUUCAACUAUUCAAAAGAUUUUGCUCGUGUAGCGUUCCCCGGCUCAGUUAAUAACAAUUUGGCUUACAUUCCUGAUUAAGUACCUGAGUAGAAGAGGUAUGUACUUCUGUUGAUUCACGUAGUUAAUCAUAAUUAUUUGUCAUAAGAGCCUUAGAGAUGAGCAUUAAGAGGACCAGGUGCAUCUUCAAAAAUUCGUACACUGGAGACGGGAAUGCAAACUAUCUUUACUGAAUCAGGAAAAUAUGUACACUAAUUUUAAAUGUGGGCCAUUCAUUUUUAUUUCAUUUUGUAUUUAGAAGCAGCAUGGCCUAGUAGAAAGAGAAUCAGAAGACCUGAGUUCUAGUCCCCGCUCCGCUGCUUACCUGCUGUGUGACUCUGGGUAAGUGACUUAACUUCUCUGUGCCUCAGUUCCCUCCAAGAGCUCUUCCCUGACUAAGUCCUCAUUUACUCUUCUCUCCUUCCUACAUCGACUUUGCACUUCGAUCUUCACCUUUUAUUCACCCUAACCCCUGCCCCAAAGCAUUUAUAUACAUAAUAGAUUUAUUUUUGUUGUCCAUGUCCCCCUCUGAGACUGUCAGCUUCUUGUGGGAAGGGGAAGAAGCAAGGCCUGUUGGCGAGACCAUGGGCUUGGGGACCCGAGGACCUGGGUUCUAAUCUCGGUUCUGCCGCUUGUCUGCUGUGUGACUUGGGGCAGGUCACUUAACUUCUCUGUGCCUCAGUUUCCUCUGCAAAAUGGGGAUUCAAUCCUUGUUCUCCUUCCUACUUAGACUGGGAGCCCCAGGUGGGCCCUGAUGACCUUGUAUCUACCCCUGUGCUUAGUACACUGCUUGGCAGUUAGUAAAUGCUCAACAACUUCCACAAGUGUUAUUAUUAUUAAGACCAUACUUUGUCCUUAGGAUUGUAGAGAAUUCCUGGACCACAACCUGGAGGAAUCUGCCAUUUAAGAGAGGAUGACAAGACAGACCAAAUGAUGUAAACAUAAAUAAACAUUCAAAGCAGGAUAAAUAUCGGGGCAGAUCUGAUUGGACUGGAGUCUCUCUCCCUUUUCCCCUCUUUCACUAGGUUCCGCUUGCUUUUCCCCUCUCCCACACUUUAGGUUUCACUUAGAGGAAAAAAAGCAUAAAAUCAUAAGUGCCCAAACGCUUUCUCAGGGUUUUGUUUCUCAAGAAAAGAUUGUAUUUCUGGAAUGUGCACAUUCAAUCAGUAUUUAUUGAGCACUUACUGUGUGCAGAGCACUGUACUAAGAGCUCGGGAGAGUGUAUCACGACACUGUAACAGACACAUUCCCUGCCCACAACGAGCUUGCGAUCUAGAGGGGGAGUCAGAUAUUAAUAGAAAUUAUGGAUCUAUGGAGACGACUCGACGGCAUAAGACGAGACUAGAGAGGAGUGCGGUCGGGGUGACGGGAAUGGGAA